UCUUUAACUGAUAUGAAGAGCUUGCUCUGAUUUGAUCCUAUCUGACAAAGAGUGGCGAACGGGUGAGUAACACGUGGGUAACCUACCUCUUAGCAGGGGAUAACAUUUGGAAACAAGUGCUAAUACCGUAUAAUACCAACAACCGCAUGGUUGUUGGUUGAAAGAUGGUUCUGCUAUCACUAAGAGAUGGACCCGCGGUGCAUUAGCUAGUUGGUAAGGUAACGGCUUACCAAGGCAAUGAUGCAUAGCCGAGUUGAGAGACUGAUCGGCCACAAUGGGACUGAGACACGGCCCAUACUCCUACGGGAGGCAGCAGUAGGGAAUCUUCCACAAUGGGCGCAAGCCUGAUGGAGCAACGCCGCGUGUGUGAUGAAGGGUUUCGGCUCGUAAAACACUGUUAUAAGAGAAGAACGGCACUGAGAGUAACUGUUCAGUGUGACGGUAUCUUACCAGAAAGGAACGGCUAAAUACGUGCCAGCAGCCGCGGUAAUACGUAUGUUCCAAGCGUUAUCCGGAUUUAUUGGGCGUAAAGCGAGCGCAGACGGUUAUUUAAGUCUGAAGUGAAAGCCCUCAGCUCAACUGAGGAAUGGCUUUGGAAACUGGAUGACUUGAGUGCAGUAGAGGAAAGUGGAACUCCAUGUGUAGCGGUGAAAUGCGUAGAUAUAUGGAAGAACACCAGUGGCGAAGGCGGCUUUCUGGACUGUAACUGACGUUGAGGCUCGAAAGUGUGGGUAGCAAACAGGAUUAGAUACCCUGGUAGUCCACACCGUAAACGAUGAGUGCUAGAUGU
rnacentral:rRNA from 1 species